rnacentral:rRNA from 1 species
UACGAAGGGGGGCUAGCGUUGUUCGGAAUUACUGGGCGUAAAGCGCACGUAGGCGGACUAUUAAGUCAGGGGUGAAAUCCCGGAGCUCAACUCCGGAACUGCCUUUGAUACUGGUAGCCUAGAGAUCGGAAGAGGUGAGUGGAAUUCCCAGUGUAGAGGUGAAAUUCGUAGAUAUUGGGAAGAACACCAGUGGCGAAGGCGGCUCACUGGUCCGAUACUGACGCUGAGGUGCGAAAGCGAUGGGGAGCAAACAGGGGAUUAAGAAACCCCG